rnacentral:rRNA from 1 species
UGUGUAGGCGGCGUGGUAAGUGAGAGGUGAAAGCCCUCGGCUCAACCGAGGAAUUGCCUUUCAAACUGCCAUGCUCGAGGCCGUGAGGGGAGUGUGGAACUCUUGGUGGAGCGGUGAAAUGCGUAGAUAUCAAGAGGAACGCCGGUGGCGAAAGCGACACUCUGGCACGGUUCUGACGCUGAGGCACGAAAGCUAGGGUAGCAACG